rnacentral:rRNA from 1 species
UUUAUAUUGAGAGUUUGAUCCUGGCUCAGGAUGAACGCUGGCGGUGUGGAUAAGGCAUGCAAGUCGAAAGGGUUUAGACCCUUGGCAAACGGGCUAGUAACACGUGGGAAUCUACCCUGAAGUCGUGAAUAACCAUUUGAAAAGAUGGAUAAUACACGAUUAGCUCUCCGGAGUAAAGAUUU